rnacentral:lncRNA from 12 species
UGCACUAAUGAAUGUUCUUUUAUUCAUCGGACUGUGAGUGUUAUCGCCUUGUUUAAGUUUGUGUCAUGGUCUUGUCAUGAUCCUGUCUCUAUCUCUCUCCUUUUCUCUCUCUGUCUCCCCCUGCUGGUUUCUCCUCUCCUGUCUCCCCCGCUCUUCGCUUCUGUGUCACAGCUGACUUCACUUCUCAUUAAGAUAAUUUCCCCUCCACCUGCUUCUCAUAUUGCCUUGUUAUCUGGGCUACUUCUACCCUCUCGUUCUCGUGUCUCUUUGUCAGAUUGUUACCUCCGAAUGAAGCAUUGGUCAUUGGCGUCUUCACUUAGAGUUGGUCUUGUCCUGUCCAGUCCGGUCCGGUCUAGUCGGGGGUGGGUUUUGUUAACCACUAUCACUGCCCGAAUUUCUCUGUGCUCACCAUUUGCACCCCACAGAACCUUACCUGCUAUCCAACGCCGCGGCCUCCGCGCUCUGCGAGCUCCAGUCUCCGGUUCUCCCCUGAGCCCAGUCAAGCCUCCGCCUCGCCAGCCUGCUGGUCGUUCCAGCCACAGAGGAUGCAAACCAACAAUGUUGUCAGAGUGAAGUUCAAAGACAGCAAGAGAUAUAUUUUUUCUUCAAAACCUUUUACAUUUCAAUCAUUUUUGGAAUGUGGUAAGAGAUAAACUUUAACAUUUUUAAUAUCAUAAAUACCUUUUAGUCUGAAAUAUAUAUUUUUAAGUAAUAUAUUAAGUGUAUGAUUGUAUAUUAUGAGGUUAAAAAAUAACUAUUGUAGUUCCUUUUGCAUUGCUGGCCUUUGUCAAUUUUCCAUUGGUGUGUCUUCCUUCAGUUGCCAAGAAAUUUGAUCUUCCUACAUUGGAUGUUAAAGUCUUUGAUGACUCGAAGACAGAAGUUGAUGAGGAAGCAUUCGUAUAUCUGCUGACACGACCAGAUCUUGGUGUCUUAGAAAUUGUCAUCCCAGGCACAGCAAACAUUGAUGGUAAAUUUUUUGACAUUCAGUAAUAUUCACCAAUUCACUGAUUUGCAUAAACUAAUAUGGCUAUUGGAUUAAUUCUUAAUAGCUGUGUUGCAUGCUGCCACAGUAGCAUGAACAGAUAAUCAGACCAUUGAUAUGGUUUAUAUUGAAGAUUCUUUAAGCUCAAGCUCAUUAGGAGAUACUGAAAGUACAUCAGAGUCCGAUGACACAGCAAUGUUGAUUAGAAGCCCUCCUGAAAAAAAUCAAGCUGAGGAACGUCGUCUUGCCAAGGUAAGGAUCACCAAUCUUGGCUCUGAAUUAUAUCUAUAUAGAAUGACUUAAAAAAUUAAAAUAUUUGGAGCUAUAUACACUUGUCAGUUGGUAAUUUAUAAUCCCUGCACAACAUCGCAUCAUUCCCCCUCCAGAUGAUUGAAGAUAUCCUAAAGACCAGCCCUGGAGGUGAAAAGGUCAUAAACGAAUAUGCCCGCACCAAAGGUCUGUCAGAUGCCCGAAGACGUGACAUGGUGAAAAUCUUGGUAGCACAUUUGACAAAUGAACAUGGGUAAGUUGUCCAUACAUUACUUCAUAAAUUGUUGUUUAUGAUGUUAUGGGUUAUAAUUAUAAUUGCUUUGGUUUGUGUGUGUGUGUGUAGAACAAGCCCUUCCCGACAUUUGAAGGAAGAAUAUGCAAAGGGAAUCAUUUCCCUAUUCCCAUGCUUGGCUGACCCCAGAAGCAAGCUUGGAUAUGUAAGUAGCAGUUGCCUCUCAAUAUUUUUGAUUUACAGGAGGAGACAUUCUGUAUAUUGCAAAGUAAAGAAUAUCUUCAUUAUAAUUGAUAUGGCAUUCAUUGCCUUAAUCUGGUAAUGUAUAACUACUAGGUCUGUUUAUUGUUCUGGUAAUAGGAGCAUUAUUACAAUGCAGAAGAUGGAAGUGGAUAUUUGGCGUGGCGAAUUAAAACUCUGCAGAAAGAAGCAUCAGAGGGACGGAUGAAGCGCCCACGGCAACCACAAACAGGUGCAAGAUUUGAUGUUAAGUCCAUGCUUUUAUUAGGUUGGCUAAUAUUUAUUAGGCUUGGUUAACUUUGUUAUUUUCAAAUGAAUAUACAACUUGCUUAUUUUACACAUCUUAACAUUUGUGACUUGUCUUUGAAGUAUUCUUUUGUUCCUAAUUGAUCUUUAAUUAAGUCAUAUUGUGAAUGAGGUCUCCAUGUUACAUAGCAUCUCUAAAAAAU